rnacentral:rRNA from 1 species
GAUGAACGCUGGCGGCGUGCCUAAUACAUGCAAGUCGAGCGAACGGACGAGAAGCUUGCUUCUCUGAUGUUAGCGGCGGACGGGUGAGUAACACGUGGAUAACCUACCUAUAAGACUGGGAUAACUUCGGGAAACCGGAGCUAAUACCGGAUAAUAUUUUGAACCGCAUGGUUCAAAAGUGAAAGACGGUCUUGCUGUCACUUAUAGAUGGAUCCGCGCUGCAUUAGCUAGUUGGUAAGGUAACGGCUUACCAAGGCAACGAUGCAUAGCCGACCUGAGAGGGUGAUCGGCCACACUGGAACUGAGACACGGUCCAGACUCCUACGGGAGGCAGCAGUAGGGAAUCUUCCGCAAUGGGCGAAAGCCUGACGGAGCAACGCCGCGUGAGUGAUGAAGGUCUUCGGAUCGUAAAACUCUGUUAUUAGGGAAGAACAUAUGUGUAAGUAACUGUGCACAUCUUGACGGUACCUAAUCAGAAAGCCACGGCUAACUACGUGCCAGCAGCCGCGGUAAUACGUAGGUGGCAAGCGUUAUCCGGAAUUAUUGGGCGUAAAGCGCGCGUAGGCGGUUUUUUAAGUCUGAUGUGAAAGCCACGGCUCAACCGUGGAGGGUCAUUGGAAACUGGAAAACUUGAGUGCAGAAGAGGAAAGUGGAAUUCCAUGUGUAGCGGUGAAAUGCGCAGAGAUAUGGAGGAACACCAGUGGCGAAGGCGACUUUCUGGUCUGUAACUGACGCUGAUGUGCGAAAGCGUGGGGAUCAAACAGGAUUAGAUACCCUGGUAGUCCACGCCGUAAACGAUGAGUGCUAAGUGUUAGGGGGUUUCCGCCCCUUAGUGCUGCAGCUAACGCAUUAAGCACUCCGCCUGGGGAGUACGACCGCAAGGUUGAAACUCAAAGGAAUUGACGGGGACCCGCACAAGCGGUGGAGCAUGUGGUUUAAUUCGAAGCAACGCGAAGAACCUUACCAAAUCUUGACAUCCUUUGACAACUCUAGAGAUAGAGCUUUCCCCUUCGGGGGACAAAGUGACAGGUGGUGCAUGGUUGUCGUCAGCUCGUGUCGUGAGAUGUUGGGUUAAGUCCCGCAACGAGCGCAACCCUUAAGCUUAGUUGCCAUCAUUAAGUUGGGCACUCUAAGCUGACUGCCGGUGACAAACCGGAGGAAGGUGGGGAUGACGUCAAAUCAUCAUGCCCCUUAUGAUUUGGGCUACACACGUGCUACAAUGGACAAUACAAAGGGCAGCGAAACCGUGAGGUCAAGCAAAUCCCAUAAAGUUGUUCUCAGUUCGGAUUGUAGUCUGCAACUCGACUACAUGAAGCUGGAAUCGCUAGUAAUCGUAGAUCAGCAUGCUACGGUGAAUACGUUCCCGGGUCU